rnacentral:lncRNA from 10 species
GUUUUGUGGCACAGGAUUAUGUAAUAUGGAACUGCUCAAGCAAAUAACUAGUCAUCACAACAGCAGUUCUUUGUAAUAACUGAAAAAGAAUAUUGUUUCUCGGAGAAGGAUGUCAAAAGAUCGGCCCAGCUCAGGGAGCAGUUUGCCCUACUAGCUCCUCGGACAGCUGUAAAGAAGAGUCUCUGGCUCUUUAGAAUACUGAUCCCAUUGAAGAUACCACGCUGCAUGUGUCCUUAGUAGUCAUGUCUCCUUAGGCUCCUCUUGGACAUUCUGAGCAUGUGAGACCUGAGGACUGCAAACAGCUAUAAGAGGCUCCAAAUUAAUCAUAUCUUUCCCUUUGAGAAUCUGGCCAAGCUCCAGCUAAUCUACUUGGAUGGGUUGCCAGCUAUCUGGAGAAAAAGAUCUUCCUCAGAAGAAUAGGCUUGUUGUUUUACAGUGUUAGUGAUCCAUUCCCUUUGACGAUCCCUAGGUGGAGAUGGGGCAUGAGGAUCCUCCAGGGGAAAAGCUCACUACCACUGGGCAACAACCCUAGGUCAGGAGGUUCUGUCAAGAUACUUUCCUGGUCCCAGAUAGGAAGAUAAAGUCUCAAAAACAACCACCACACGUCAAGAGUGACUCACCUUUAUCUCAAAGAGCAAUAUUCUCUUCAUUGUUCCUAUCUGCCAAAUCAUUAUACUUCCUACAAGCAGUGCAGAGAGCUGAGUCUUCAGCAGGUCCAAGAAAUUUGAACACACUGAAGGAAGUCAGCC